AAUUCGAGAGCUGGAGCACAAAUGAGGUUCUGAGAGUUUGCAGCACUUGAGAGGGGUAUGUAAAUAAAAGCUUAACCUGGGGGAUAGUUCAGAUGCAGUUAUUAUCUUUUUUUCCUUCUUCCUCUCCACUACACCUGAAGGGCUGGAACAGACCAGGAGGAUUAUGGUACAUGAGUCCGGUGAAGCGGGUCACCGUCUGAAGUAGAUGGAUCCUGAGCGUAAUUGGUGUUAGCGGUAAAGCAACCGGCGUUCAGACAGAGAGGUUAUCACCCGUAAUCUCCUCGACUACAGUCCAUCAGGAGAAACAAGACAUGGCAGGAAGAUGUGAGAGAUGGAGGCGGUGAUUCGUCAUUGCUGGCCAAGUUAAACUCAUUAGGAGUUGAAUCCAGAAAUUUAGGCCAAUGUCUGUCUGUGCAUGUGACAUCACAGUAUCUAUACCAUAGUCUUGUUGAACUCUGAAUUCUGAUUGGUCAGACUGUAUUAAUGAACGUUCUGAUACACGUUAUUGUUUCUAUAGUAACAGCAAAUUCACAGAGACGUGUACGGUGGAUGCUCCACAUAAACACAUUAAAAUGGUCUUUUAUGGUUGAUGCACACAUUUAUGUAACAUUUAUGGAAGGAGUCUCCAGUGUCAGCACUUUGUAACAGUCAGAGGUAAAUCUGUAACUUUCCUGAUGUCGUCUUACGCCUUGCAGUUUCUUGGUAACAUGACAAGAUUCAAAUCUGUUUUUCCAUCGUAAGGUUAACACGUCCGUGGUGUAAACCACACGACUGCGUGUACUCCGCACAAACCAUAAAUCUGCAUCAUAAUCCAUAGCAUAGGUCUCUAAACAGAAAGGAGACCUUAAACCAGGAUCACACAUAAUCAGCAGGGAUGAGUAGAGAAACCGGAUUCACAUGGAACUACGGAACAACUCAAGCCAAAGGAACCGGAGAAACCGGAUAAAAAGAUAUUAGGGAACAGACCGAGGAGCGGAAACCAAAAGGGCAUCAGAGGCAGUGUAGCUUUGGCCCAGAACUCUGUUCUUCUCACCUGUUCUCAUCAUCGCCGGAGAGAUCAUUCAUCAUUUAUCCAGGCUUCUUACAGCUACAUAUGAGAUGAUAAAGCUGGAUCACAGAGGAGAUCACAUCCAGGGCGCAUAAUGGAUGGUUGAACAGUGCAGUGCCAAAUCUCUCUCUCUCUCUCUCUCUCUCUCUCUCUCUCUCUCUCUCUGUGUGUGUGUGUUAAUAUACAGUUAUUCACUGUGAAACAAAAUAAAUAAGGCAAGUUAUUUAUAACAUGAUCUCCAUCCGCAUUACAGAUGGAGAUCAUAUUAUAGUCUCAGAGCGCCUUUUUUUUUUUUUUUUUAACAAAUGUGUAAGCAUGUGCAUUUGUAAAUGGGAGAAAAGUGCAGCACAGAAGGAAGGAAAUGAAACAUUUAUUCUCCACAUCCCACUGCCACAGAUUACCACAGAUACGGAAUAAGGCUAAACUACAGUCCUCUAGCAUUUAGGUGAGGAAGCAUUACUUGAAUAUUCCUCAUCUUCAUGCCUGACGGCAUCUUCGUUAUUCCUGCUGGCGCGCCGCUGGGAUUUUAAAUUUUAUACAGCAUGUUUUGAAAUCAAUGCAUUUUUUUUUUUCCUCCAUCGAAUGCGGACCUGCAAUCAAACGGGAGCAGAAAUCACCCCAAGCCGUAGAGAAGCCACAGAGCUACUCUAAAAUCAAGAAAACAUAAAAAAAACAUGCAGUGCGGGUAAACACGACUCCUUCUUCAUUCAAUACAUGCCCUGAAUUCAUAUUCACAUACAUUUAUUCAUUCUGCAGAAGCUUUUUA